AUGAGGAGUUUGAUGCUUUGCAGGCCAGCCGUACAUGGACCCUCGUACCUCGGCCUCGCGGUACCAACAUCGUCACCGGAAAGUGGGUUUUCCGACACAAGCUCAAACCCGAUGGUUCCUUGGAUCACUACAAGGCUCGUUGGGUCGUACGAGGAUUCACUCAGCGUGCUGGUGUUGAUUUUGGAGAGACAUUCAGUCCUGUGGUGA
rnacentral:rRNA from 1 species